rnacentral:rRNA from 1 species
AGUGAACGCUGGCGGCGUGCCUAAUACAUGCAAGUCGAACGGAGUGGCGCACGGGUGAGUAAUGUAUAGCUAAUCUGCCCUACACUAGAGGACAACAGUUGGAAACGACUGCUAAUACUCUAUAGUGUAGGAUGAGGCUAUAUUGUAUCAGCUAGUUGGUGAGGUAAUGGCUCACCAAGGGUAUGACGCAUAACUGGUCUGAGAGGAUGAUCAGUCAACAUUGAAAGUAGACACGGUCCAGACUCCUACGGGAAGGAGCAGUAGGGGAAAUGUGUCAAUGGGGGAAACCCUGAAGCAGCAACGCCGCGUGGAGGAUGACACUUUUCGGAGCGUAAACUCCUUUUGUUAGGGAAGCGGUACCUAACGAAUAAGCACCGGCUAACUCCGUGCCAGCAGCCGCGGUAAUUC